rnacentral:rRNA from 1 species
CACGUAGGGCGCGAGCGUUGUCCGGAAUCAUUGGGCGUAAAGCGCACGUAGGCGGCUUGUUAAGUCGGAUGUGAAAGCCCCAGGCUCAACCUGGGAAGUGCAUUCGAAACUGGCGAGCUUGAAUGUCGGAGAGGGCAGUGGAAUUCCGAGUGUAGAGGUGAAAUUCGUAGAUAUUCGGAGGAACACCAGUGGCGAAGGGCGACUGCCUGGACGAACAUUGACGCUGAGGUGCGAAAGCGUGGGGAGCAACAGG